GCUGACUACUUUAGCUUGCUAGAGUAGAAGGAGUUGCGAACGGGUGAGUAACACGUAGGUAACCUGCCUACUAGCGGGGGAUAACUAUUGGAAACGAUAGCUAAUACCGCAUAACAGUGUUUAACACAUGUUAGAUGCUUGAAAGAUGCAAAUGCAUCACUAGUAGAUGGACCUGCGUUGUAUUAGCUAGUUGGUGGGGUAACGGCCUACCAAGGCGACGAUACAUAGCCGACCUGAGAGGGUGAUCGGCCACACUGGGACUGAGACACGGCCCAGACUCCUACGGGAGGCAGCAGUAGGGAAUCUUCGGCAAUGGGGGCAACCCUGACCGAGCAACGCCGCGUGAGUGAAGAAGGUUUUCGGAGUCGUAAAGCUCUGUUGUAAGAGAAGAACGUGUGUGAGAGUGGAAAGUUCACACAGUGACGGUAACUUACCAGAAAGGGACGGCUAACUACGUGCCAGCAGCCGCGGUA
rnacentral:rRNA from 1 species